UACGUAGGGUGCAAGCGUUGUCCGGAAUUAUUGGGCGUAAAGAGCUCGUAGGCGGUCUGUCGCGUCGGCUGUGAAAACCCGGGGCUCAACCCCGGGCCUGCAGUCGAUACGGGCAGACUAGAGUGCGGUAGGGGAGACUGGAAUUCCUGGUGUAGCGGUGAAGUGCGCAGAUAUCAGGAGGGACACCGGUGGCGAAGGCGGGUCUCUGGGCCGUAACUGACGCUGAGGAGCGAAAGCGUGGGGAGCGAACAGG
rnacentral:rRNA from 1 species